rnacentral:rRNA from 1 species
UACAGAGGUCUCAAGCGUUGUUCGGAUUCAUUGGGCGUAAAGGGUGCGUAGGUGGCGCGCUAAGUCAGGUGUGAAAUUUCGGAGCUUAACUCCGAAACUGCAUUUGAUACUGGCGUGCUUGAGGACUGGAGAGGAGACUGGAAUUCAUGGUGUAGCAGUGAAAUGCGUAGAGAUCAUGAGGAAGACCAGUGGCGAAGGCGGGUCUCUGGACAGUUCCUGACGCUGAGGCGCGAAAGCUAGGGGAGCGAACAGG